GUGGGGUCUUUGUAUGGCAGCAGCAUUUCAAGGCGGGCUGAUCCUUCUUCUCUGGGGAAGCCAGAGCUGGGCAGGUGCCUGAGCCUCGUGAGGGUCUCGGACUGGAUGCUGGGCCCUGUACUCCCCCUGCCUUGGGCUUGGAGAUGCUCACAGGUGAGUUCUCAUUUUUGAAGAGCUCUGUCUUCCUAGGAAGCAGAGAUCCCUCACCUGGGAACCAAGCGUCCCGCUGGAGUUGCUCCAUGCCCAGGCCCAGGUCUCCUGGUCUGCAGGACACGGCACAAGGAGGCUGGCCUAGGCCAGGCCAAGUGUCCCUGGAGGAUGUACUCUGUCCCAGAAGGGGCCUGACCUGCUUGCUGACCCCGCUUGCUGCUGCCUGGCUGACCUGACUCAGCCACAGCUGUUCUGAGGGCCCUUCUGAGUACGAACUCCCAGUUGGAGGUUCUGGGUGAAGACCAGAUAGCUUGAGAUAGCAGCCUCUGGCUGGGCCCUUGGCGUCGCCAAGCCAGUCAGGCAGGUGUAGAGCCUGAUGCCCCUAGACAGGUCCUGCAACCAAGAACAGGGGUAGCCUUCAAAGGCCAGCCCUGCCUUCCAACCACCGCUCCACAACGAGGGAAACCCAGGCUCUAAAAGCAGGAGGUUUGUCCAAGAUUAGCACCUGCGUGCUCCAGGCUCCGAGUUCUGUCCCCUCAGCUGUCUGGCCCCUGGGUGCUUGCUUUCAUUUCAAGUCACUCAUCUUGCUAUUAAACAUGAGCCCAGAAAUAUUGUUGUAAUGGAGAACGAGGCCUGAGAGUCCCUCAGAGUGGUUGCAUGAAAUCUCCCCUGCUCAGAACCACCCAGUCGAAUUCAUGGUGCUCCAUGUGGCCUGCAGGACGGCUGGUUAGAGCCGGCAGAGGUUUAUUUAUAGCCGGGCUCCUGGCUGCCUGGUAACGGGCCACUGCCACCUUUAAAGAAUCUUGGGAUAUUAUCUACCUCUAUUCAGCUUGAAAUCCGGCAUGCGGUGCCUUCGGCUGGCGCUGGUGAUAAUUAAACUGUCAUCAUGCACAAUUAUGGAUGCAAAUAAUAAAUGUCAUCCCACUGGCGUGUGAGGAUUUGGGCAGCUUCUGGACUGAAAUACAGAAUUGCUGCAUCCGGAUUGGGUCAAAGCCUGUGGUUGGGAGAACAUGCCUGCACAAGGAAAACUGACCCCACAGGACGAAAGUCCUUGACACGAACUGAUCUGCCGAAAGGGGAAGAAUGGGUCUAGCUAGAAUCUAGGACUAACCGGCCGGUGAGCUUUGAGGAACAAAGGGCUUUCCGCUGGGUCAGCCCACAAGAGGGAGCUGCCUGCAGGUGCCCGGGAGGGCACGGCCACCCUCUCUGUCCGUUGGGAGCAGAACUCCUUGGAAGGCAGCACCAGCUCCAGAAAGGUCACCGUCCCCCCGUCCUGCCCACUGCAGGUGGCAACUGCCUCUGCAGGUCACAGUCCCAGAGCGUGGCUCGGCCGACCUGGAGGAGAAAAGGGAAGAUGCCCGAUUAGCUGGAGGCCCAUGGCCUCAGGGCUGGGGGACCGUGGGUCAUCCCGAAAGAAGGACAAUGACCGCCUGGAAAGGACGAUUUCGGGUGGAGCCUGGAGGAGGCGGCCAAUAGCUCAGUCCGCACUCAACUCCCUUCCCAGCCGUCUGAUGGAAGGCGAGGAGCUAAAGCUCAUGCUGCUGAGGCCUGGGGUCUCCCAGGCACCAGCCUCCACAUGCCCAGCAGAGACAGCAGCCGCCUAACUGCAGGAGUGUGCCCCGACAUGCUCCUGCGGACGUUCCUUCUAAUGGUAGACGUGGUCCCCACUGGGGCAAGGCUGCAGUUUUCUUUUAAAAAAACAUCUUUCAAAAUAAAAGGGGCCUUGAAGAAAA